CAGAUACAGGUUAUGUGGGAUCCUCUGAGCUGAGAUUCAGAGGGCAGUUGCAGCUCCUUCUUACCUCAGAAGCACUGCAAAUGGCAUCACAGACAAGGGAGAAUUUCCUAUUGGUCCCUAGGAUGGUUCAGGGAAUAUGAGAAACCAAAAAGAAAAAAGAUAACAGAAGAUGCAACGAUAAAAGUUGGGGCAGGGACUCCUGGGCAUGGAGAAAAAGUGUACAGGAAUGCCGGGCAUUUCAGGCUGACCUAAGGAAGAGCCCUGGAUCAAGAAAAGACUGCCUUCUCCUCCUAGACAUCUGGAGUCCCCGUACCUCAUCCUGAUAUCUGGUGACUCCUGGAGGUUUUCCUGGAGAGAGCGGGGAGUGUCUACUUGACAUCGAAAGGUUAAUAUGUUGAAUCCUAAUUACCAACUCGAUAGUAUUAGGAGAUGGGACCUUUGAGAAGUGAUUAGGUUAUAAGGAUGGAGCCCUCAUGGACCGGAUUAAUGGAAAGAGAAGAAAAGAAAAGAAAAAAGAAAAGAAAAGAAAAGGAAAGAAAGGGGUCCAGAGAGCUGCCUUGCCCUUCUACUAUGUGAGGACACAGCAAGAAGGCAUCAUCUAUGAUCCAGGAAGUGGGCCCUCACCAGACACCAAAUCUGCUGGUGCUUUGAUCUUGAACUUACCAGUCUUCAGAACUGUGAGCAACAAAUUUCUGUUGUUUAAAAGCCACCCAGUUUAAGGGAGAAGAGGCCUCACAGGCAAGAAGAACACGAGAACACAGAUGCUCCCAGGGUCCCUGGAAAAAUGCCAUCAAAAUCUAGUGUACAUCU
rnacentral:lncRNA from 1 species